AGUAACGCGUGGGUAACCUGCCUUAUACAGGGGGAUAACAGUCAGAAAUGGCUGCUAAUACCGCGUAAGCGCACAGAGCUGCAUGGCUCAGUGUGAAAAACUCCGGUGGUAUAAGAUGGACCCGCGUUGGAUUAGCUGGUUGGUGGGGUAACGGCCCACCAAGGCGACGAUCCAUAGCCGGCCUGAGAGGGUGAACGGCCACAUUGGGACUGAGACACGGCCCAG
rnacentral:rRNA from 1 species